CUUGCCUGGCGCACCCCACCAAGUCCCAGUUGAAAUGAAUUUUCUACUUAUGCUCCGGAGGAAAUCUUUUCGCGUCGCGUGCUUUCAUCUUUCAUUACUCUGUUUUGCCCUCUUUCUCGUUCUGCCCUCUUUCUCACAAAACCUAGGCUUCUGAUCUCAUCGUCCUCCUCCUUAGACGCCGACGAUUAGCAGUAGCAGGGCCGGCGGUGCUGGAUCUCCGCCCUCACGAAGCCCUGUGAUCUCGUCCUCCUCCUUCGACGCCGAUGAUUAGCAGCAGCGGAGCCUCCCCCAUUUAGCGCACCUGCAAUUCGAUCGACAAAUAAAAAACCCCAAAAGCAAAAGCCCAAAUCUGCAGAGCUCUCGACCCACGCCGACCUCAGAUCUCCUCAUAGCCGCUGCCCUCGUCUUCUACUGGCUCCUCUACUCCGUCACCCACCUCGUCGUCCGCAUCGAGCAGCUCAGCCAGCGGCUCGAGCGGCUCAAGGCCCGCGAUUGAUCCCGCCGCCGCCCCGCCCCCGCGAGAUGAGUGGAUUUUCCUCAAGAUGGCGUUCCUGGUUUUAUCCGUCCGUUCUUUUUCUUUUUCUUUUUCUUUUUUCGAUUUUGCUGUCUGAAUACGCUCGGUGAUGUUCGAAUAUUUUCUGGAAUGAUCUCUCGACAUGGAAUCUGAAUAUAAUGUCUGUUGGCGUUUCAUCUGUGUGGAGAUCUUGUAGUGUUGUGGCUAGCUUUCGGUUCGUUGUGCUGGUCAUUGUGGGAUUUGAAGAUGAAGGUGGAGGUAACCUGAGGGUUGGAUUUGGUAACAUCGUCGAGUAGUGUCAGGCGAGGGGGUUGCAUUGACUCGCAGAUUCAUUCUGUGACUUUCUGGGGUGGUUCAAUUGAAAUGUUGUUCAUGCCUAGGGUUUCAAAGAAAGCUUAUUUGGGAUCCAAACCAUGUUAAACUAUUCUCAAGCAUAAUGGUUAGAAAAUAUUUUAUUUACCGAACACCGGAAAACAUUUUCCGAAACAUUUUUAACUUUUAGCCGAACACCGAAAAAUUGUCAUUUUCCUAGAAAAUGACUUCCAGGAAAAUAUUUUUCAGAAUUGGCCAAUUUUCCGUGAAACGAACGGAGCAUUAGUCAUCUGUUUGCUACUCUCGUAAAGAAACGAAUUGACGGGUCUAUUGUAUUACCUAUGCUAUCUUCCAUUACUGUCAUUAUUCAAAAACGUUCAUGCUAUGCUUCUAUGCUCCUAUACAUUUCGCACAAUACAGUGAAUCUAAUAAACAACGCGCAUGAGAUAGUUGGCUGGGUUUGGACGCCUUUGUGACAGGUUCUGACACGCCGAAACUAUGCAGUAGAAACUGGGACACAUUUCCACGUCAUAAAUUUGAACUUUAGACAGAUUUCUCAACGGAAGAGCCUUUGAGCAGCGCAUACUUAUCGAGGAUUUCAGCCCUCUCGGUUGGCAGAAGUUUUCUUCUUCAGUUUCAAUCCCGGGAUGUCAGCAGUGGCAGUCUGAAUGUCUCACGGACAUCAGGUCUGCCCCGAUUUUCUGCUCAGAGAUCAUCCCAGCUAUUGCCGUCUUGUUCAACUUGAGGCAACUAACAACUUCGGCUCACCUAGAUUGGAGCUGAGAAUUUGUUCAUACAUUUCUUACGCAACCGACGACUUGGAAUCUGUUUGAGACUUCAAAUUCCCUCCUCUCUUCUUCAGCUCACUCGACUCUUCCUCAACUGACAAAUACUUGUCCUUCUUGGCCUGAAGAUCUCUGAAAAUUUUGUUAGGCUGCUCGGCAAUCUGGGAUUUCUUCUGUCGACUUCAACUUAAGCAGUCACUCAACAGUCAAGAAUGGAUUGCUUGCGAGCUUGUCUACCGGAGAACCUAUCUCUUCCAGGUUCUCUUAGGAUAACAAGCAUGAGAAAUCCAGGGCAACAAUGGAAUAUAUCUUCUUGUGAUUAGUAGACAUUUCCUCUGCCUAAUCAGAACCUGCAAAGUCAAAGGAGUUGACGCGUGAGCUUCAUCACGGUGCUGAGAAAGAAUAUGUUUCAAAGACUUCAAACAGUCAACUCCUUCACAGGAUUGAGCCUGGAGUUCCUGGACUUUUCCCACAUCUUGUGCUUUGAAAGCUUUCGAUGCAUAGCAGCUGGAAACGAUGCCUUGGUUGAUUACAGACGCUUCAUUUCCAGUGUUGCCUGGGGCUGGCAUUUGGUAAAUGGUUGAGUUCUGCACCUAGGGAACUGCAGAAACGUUUUAAUGUAGAAACGUUUAACAAAGUGGUAAGUAUUCAACAGAGAAUCAAGUGUGAAUUGAAAUCUCAUCAAGGAGAACAGGAGAUUUCAGCCACACGUUUAAUCUGUCGACAUGAAACGAGAAAAAAUUGCACCAGAAGGCAGGGAAGGAUGUUGGCACAUUGAUAUUCAUGAUUUCAUGGAAAUGGAAAUUGCCUGAGGGAGAUUUUAAGAUGAAUAGAGUACAGCUAGGCCAUUGGGAAAAGUAAUAUAGGCUGUAUGUCUGUAACUAUUCAAAUGUCCCAUAAGGCCAAUAAGGCCGUGUUGUUGUGCUUUCCUUGCAAUGGUUCACCUUUCAAAUGAAUGCAAAUCUGUUUCGAAUAUGUGCAAGCUCCGUCAUCUCUUCAUACGUAUGGACACUUUCACAGAAACUUGAGAAUGGACUAGUGGCACCAAGUUUGCUUUCA